rnacentral:rRNA from 1 species
CAAGUGCUUAUGUGAUGCGCUCUCGACGAGUCGAGUUGUUUGGGAAUGCAGCUCAAAACGGGUGGUAAAUUCCAUCUAAAGCUAAAUACAGGCGAGAGACCGAUAGCGAACAAGUACCGUGAGGGAAAGAUGAAAAGAACUUUGGAAAGAGAGUUAAACAGUACGUGAAAUUGCUGAAAGGGAAACGCUUGAUGUCAGUCGCGUCCGCCGGGGAUCAACCUUGCCUCUCCGGCUCGGUGUACUUCCCGGUCGGACGGGUCAGCGUCAGUUUCGGUGCCGCCGUACAAGGGCGAGGGGAACGUGGCACUCUUCGGAGUGUGUUAUAGCCCUUCGUCGCAUGCGGCGGUCGGGACUGAGGAACUCAGCACGGCUUCGGUCUGUGCUUAGGAUGCUGGCAUAAUGGCCUUAAGCGACCCGUCUUGAAACACGGACCAAGGAGUCUAACAUGCCUGCGAGUGUUUGGGUGCCAAACCCGAGCGCGCAAUGAAAGUGAACGUCGAGACCUCCGUCAAUGGAGGGCAUCGACGCCCGGACCCGAGUCUUUGACGAAGGAUCUGCGGUAGAGCAUGCAUGUUGGGACCCGAAAGAUGGUGAACUAUGCCUGAAUAGGGUGAAGCCAGAGGAAACU